rnacentral:sRNA from 1 species
AUGCAGUCACUUUGAGCAGGUGUAAUG